rnacentral:rRNA from 1 species
UAAAUAGCCCGGCUAGCUUUGGCUGGACGCUGGCUUCUUAGAGGGACUUUCGGCUCAAGCCGAUGGAAGUUUGAGGCAAUAACAGGUCUGUGAUGCCCUUAGAUGUUCUGGGCCGCCCGCG